rnacentral:rRNA from 1 species
CACUCCUGCGGGAGGCAGCAGUGGGGAAUUUUGGACAAUGGGGGCAACCCUGAUCCCGCAAUGCCGCGUGAGUGAAGAAGGCCUUCGGGUUGUAAAGCUCUUUUGUCAGGGAAGAAACGGUGGUGGCGAAUAACUACUACUAAUGACGGUACCUGAAGAAUAAGCACCGGCUAACUACGUGCCAGCAGCCGCGGUAAUACGUAGGGUGCAAGCGUUAAUCGGAAUUACUGGGCGUAAAGCGUGCGCAGGCGGUUGUGUAAGUCAGAUGUGAAAUCCCCGGGCUCAACCUGGGAAUUGCAUUUGAUACUGCACGGCUAGAGUGUAUCAGAGGGGGGUAGAAUUCCACGUGGAGCAGUGAAAUGCGUAGAUAUGUGGAGGAAUACCGAUGGCGAAGGCAGCCCCCUGGGAUAACACUGACGCUCAUGCACGAAAGCGUGGGGAGCAAACAGGAUUAGAUACCCGAGUAGUCCC